CAGCAGCCGCGGUAAUACGUAGGUGGCAAGCGUUGUCCGGAAUUAUUGGGCGUAAAGGGCUCGCAGGCGGUUUCUUAAGUCUGAUGUGAAAGCCCCCGGCUCAACCGGGGAGGGUCAUUGGAAACUGGGAAACUUGAGUGCAGAAGAGGAGAGUGGAAUUCCACGUGUAGCAGUGAAAUGCGUAGAGAUGUGGAGGAACACCAGUGGCGAAGGCGACUCUCUGGUCUGUAACUGACGCUGAGGAGCGAAAGCGUGGGGAGCGAACAGGAUUAGAGACCCCUGUAGUCCCUGUCUCUUAUAC
rnacentral:rRNA from 1 species